AGGGUUCCUGUCCAACGUUAAUCGGGGCAGGGUGAGUCGACCCCUAAGGUGAGGCCGAAAGGCGUAAUCGAUGGGAAACGGGUUAAUAUUCCCGUACUUCUGACUAUUGCGAUGGGGGGACGGAGAAGGCUAGGUGGGCCAGGCGACGGUUGUCCUGGUUCAAGUGCGUAGGCUUGAGAGUUAGGUAAAUCCGGCUCUCUCUAAGGCUGAGACACGACGUCGAGCUACUACGGUAGUGAAGUCAUUGAUGCCAUGCUUCCAGGAAAAGCCUCUAAGCUUCAGAUAGUCAGGAAUCGUACCCCAAACCGACACAGGUGGUCGGGUAGAGAAUACCAAGGCGCUUGAGAGAACUCGGGUGAAGGAACUAGG
rnacentral:rRNA from 1 species